GAUGAACGCUGGCGGCGUGCCUAAUACAUGCAAGUCGAGCGAACGGACGAGAAGCUUGCUUCUCUGAUGUUAGCGGCGGACGGGUGAGUAACACGUGGAUAACCUACCUAUAAGACUGAGAUAACUUCGGGAAACCGGAGCUAAUACCGGAUAAUAUUUUGAACCGCAUGGUUCAAUAGUGAAAGACGGUCUUGCUGUCACUUAUAGAUGGAUCCGCGCUGCAUUAGCUAGUUGGUAAGGUAACGGCUUACCAAGGCAACGAUGCAUAGCCGACCUGAGAGGGUGAUCGGCCACACUGGAACUGAGACACGGUCCAGACUCCUACGGGAGGCAGCAGUAGGGAAUCUUCCGCAAUGGGCGAAAGCCUGACGGAGCAACGCCGCGUGAGUGAUGAAGGUCUUCGGAUCGUAAAACUCUGUUAUUAGGGAAGAACAAAUGUGUAAGUAACUGUGCACAUCUUGACGGUACCUAAUCAGAAAGCCACGGCUAACUACGUG
rnacentral:rRNA from 1 species